UGCAUAUAUCUCUCUUUAUAGCAGAGUUGCACUUUGAAGUCAUUUUGUUGCGUCUGAUAAUUGUGGUUUCUUUUCUUGUUGCUGAAGAAUUUGUACGACUCUGUGCGUGAGAAUGCCGCCAAAGCGAGCGGCGCGAAGGGCUGCGGUGCCACGUACCAAGCGAGUAACGCGUUCCAGAAAUGCGGGUAAUCCGGCGGAGAUUGUGGAGGCUCCUAUGGCAGUUCAGCCUGCAGCACGUAGCAGCCCAGUUCAGAAGUCGCCUGCAUCAUCGGUGCCCUCGGCAGGGAGUGUUGAAGACGAGAUUGCAGCGGCCCAGCGAAACCUUAAAGAACUGAUCGCCCGUAGAGAUGCGGUGACCCGCUCGGAGCCAGAUGUGGUGAUGUUACCUCCCGCUACCGUUGCUCAGAUAUCGCCGCAGAUUGACGCAAAUCUGUUGAUGCAAUUGAUGUUGAAUCAACAGAACCAGCUGAUGCAGUUAACCCAGAAGGUUAUGGAGCCAGAACUGUCUGGAUCAGCGAAUGCUGUUAGAGCACAGGCCAAGAAACCUCCGCCAUUGCCAGCCAGCUUCCCGUUUGUGAAUGAUAAGUGCCUUGAAGAGUUGUAUGACCUGACGGUCAAUGUGGAUCUCGACAAACUGUUGCGGGCAAACAGUAUCAUGUCUCCCAUUCAAGGAGAAGCAAAGAUUGAGAUCAAGGAUGGAAGUUACGUGUUAUCCGAUUCAAAGCCUCGAAAGGUCACCAUCACGUCGCUGAACCAAUGAAACGAAGCGUUUAUCGUGUUUCGACGUGUGCGCUCUUUCUAUUAUCCUGGACUACGAGACCCGCUGGAUGCUUAUCAGACCAUUGUAAAUGAGCUGGCUGGUGUCUAUUCUACAGUCGUUUGGCUUGAGUACGACAAGACUUUUCGGGCCAACCGGAUCCGUGAUACCACAAACCAUGACGAAUGGAGCAGAUUAGACCGCAGCUUGCUCGACCGUUGUGCUGCCCGUCUGCCUAAUCGUGCCCAUCUUCCUCUAUGCCACACCUGCCCACUGGCGGAUCAUACUGUGCAAGAGUGCCCGAAGACUCUUCAGUUACCUGCACUCGGUCACGCCGACACGGCGACUGCGGGUCGGCCCUUUCGACACAUCCCGCCAGACGUGUGCAGGAACUGGAGUUACGGGAAUUGCACAAAAGGAGCCAGCUGCCGUUUCAAGCAUCGGUGCGGGGAGUGCCGGGCUACCGAUCACACUUCUUUCGAGCAUUGUGGACAACGCAACGCAAAUGCCGGCGCGAGCACUGUGUCCGGGACCGGAUCCGCGCAUAACAACACCAGUCAACGUCGAUAGAUUGGCGGAGCUAUUGGUAGAGUAUCAAGAUACUGAUGCUAUGCACUUCCUUUUGCAGGGUUUCACGUACGGCUUUAGCAUUGGUUACGAAGGCCCGCAGAUCCGGCGGUUUACCUCUAAUGCACAAUCGUCUUUGGCAAACCCAUCCGUCAUUUCAUCCAUGAUAGAAAAAGAAUUAGCCGCGCACCAUUGUCUCGGUCCGUUCACUGAGCCGCCGCAUCCGGAUUUUGUAACCAAUGCUCUCGGCUUGCGACCAAAAAAGCCCAUUGGCCAUCGUAUCAUUAUGGAUUUAUCCCAGCCUUUUGGAUUCAGCGUGAACGACUUUAUACCGAAAGAUAAGUAUUCUAUGGCUUAUAUAGGAAUUGAUGACCCAGUUCAGUUAAUAAUUCAGACAGGAAGAGGCGCCUUGAUGGCUAAAAUUGAUAUUGAUAGCGCUUUUCGUAAUUUGCCCGUUAGACCAGACGAGUGGCAUCUGUUAGGAUAUUUCUGGGAAAGUCAUUAUUAUUUCGAUACAGUGGUGUCAUUCGGUUUAAGGUCAGGUCCGCGUUUGUUUGACAUUUUCGCUACAGCAUUAGAGUAUAUUUUUCGUAAGUGUACGGGCAAUGAUUCGUUUUUGCAUUAUUUGGAUGACUUUUUUAAAGUGGAUAAGCCAGGAAGUGAUAGCUGUAGGAGGGGUGUCAUGCAGUGUGUUUCUGUUUGCAAUUACCUUGGCGUUCCGGUAAAUACAAAAAAGUUAGUUUGGCCGGACACAAAAAUUGAAUUUCUGGGUAUAGUUUUAGACAGCGUUAACUUUACCUUGUCGGUAUCAAACAGCCGUAUGGAUGAACUGAGUUUAUUACUGCAGUCAUUUGCAGAUCGGAAGCAGUGUCAGAAAAGGGACUUGUUGAGUUUGGUUGGUUGUUUGUCAUUUGUUACGAAAUGCAUCCCUGCAAGUCGAAUAUUUCUCAGACGCAUGAUUGAACUGAGCUGUACUGCAGUAAAGCUUCAUCACACGAUACAUUUGUCAACUGAGUUUCGGCGAGACGUUUACUGGUGGCAAGAGUUCCUGCCUUUAUGGAAUGGUUCGGCUAGUUUUCUCACACCGGUGUGGCAAGAAGCAGAAUCUUUGCAUUUAUAUACUGAUGCGGCGGGUUCUAUCGGUUAUGCAGGCGUUUUUGGAAGUGAGUGGUUUCAGGGUGUUUGGCCAAGGUGGUUGUUAACGUUACGAGUUUCGAUAACGUUUCUUGAGCUUUACCCAAUUUACGUAGCAUGCGUUGUAUGGGAAAAACGAUUGAGUACGCGAAGAAUCGUUGUGCAUAGCGACAAUACGGGUACUGUUGAGGUAUGGUCGCGUGGUAAAUGUAGAAACACGGCUGUGAUGGAGUUGGUGCGCCGCAUUCAUUUCGUUACGUCGCAUUUUAAUUUUGCUAUUAAGAUAGUGCACAUUCCCGGAGUAAAAAAUGAACUAGCUGGUGCGCUUUCUCGUUUUCAGCAGCACCGAUUCAGACAGUUGCUUCCAACUGCUCAGCCGGAAGGACUCAAGUUACCGGACCUGCUAAGCCGCUUCCAACCGCUCCUGCAGGGGCUCAAUCCAAGUCCGUUUUCACUCCCGAUGACCUUUUCGCAGCCGGAAUGGCUCCUUCUACCAGACGAGCUUAUGCAACCGGAGAGCGCAGCUUUACCUGCUACUGCCAAUCCAUGAAUCGCUCGCCGUGGCCGGCUUCGUCAGAUUUAGUGGAGGAUUACGUGACGCAUCUAUUUAACACUGGCAUCGCCUCCUCCACCUUAUCAGUGUAUCUGUCCGCUAUUGCACGUUACCAUGUGAUGCACAACUGGCCGGAUCCCACGCAGUCAGCUCGUUUGAAAGCGAUUCUUGAAGGUGCUCGCAGAAUGAACGGAGUGCACCAAGAUCAACGGCUACCCAUAACGCCAGAUCUCCUACGGCAGUUACACUCGCGCCUUCAUCUUACGUCGAAUCAACACAUCGACCAACGCAUGUUUGGGGCCGCUUUUACGUUAGCCCAUCAUUUUCUCCUACGUGUAAGCGAAUACACGAGCAUUUCGCCAGCCAGAUUUAAUCCGGACGCCACGUUGUGUUUGGACGAUGUGCAUUAUGAUCGCACCAUGCUUCGUUGCACUAUCAAGCAGUCGAAAACGGAUCAGCGACGGAACGGAGUCACCCUGACGAUGCAGCGUGCCGAAUCUCCUUUUGUUCAUGACGUUUGCACCGGUUAUAGUGAAAUUCGCCGCCUCCUCUACCCUGCCAAUUUUCCUUUUUUCAUGCAUGCAUCCGGACGAUUCCUCACUCGCUCCGAUGUUACCGAAGCGCUGAAAAAAUGUUUGCCGGACAGCUGUGACCGCAUGCGUUAUUCAUCUCACAGUUUUCGCAUUGGCGGCGCGACUGCGGCAGCAGCGGACGGUCAACCAGUGGAUGCCAUUUGCAAGAAAGGACGAUGGAAAUCCGCAUCGUUUCAACGCUACAUUCGGCCCUUUCCCAAUACCUGACUGUUUGGGGCACAACCCAUCUCACUGCUCUCUCCCGCCACGAAAGUUCCCAAAAUAUCCGCAAAGCCAUUCCCAAUGCAAGUGAUUGGCUGACCUCUUGCCAGACGCCAUCUUGCCUUUGUUCAUCACGCUGUUGCUGUUGUGCAUAUAUCUCUCUUUAUAGCAGAGUUGCGAUUUGAAGUCAUUUUGUCGCGUCUGAUAAUUGUGGUUUCUUUUCUUCUUGCUGAAGAAUUUGUACGGUAAAUUUCUUUUCUGUUUUUUCCACCUGCAAUAUUUGUGAGUGACCUUUGGUGUGUUUCUUUACCCACCAUCCCACCCUUUAGCAACUUGUACAUUGAUUAAAGGCACAACCCAUCUCACUGCUCUCUCCCGCCACGGUACGCACGGAACCGCACCGGAAGGAAACGCAGCAAGCAUUCGCAUUCUCAUAUACACCCU